rnacentral:misc_RNA from 1 species
CGUGAUGUUGCCUCGGUCGCAGCAGCGGACAGCAGCAGCGAUACCAAAAUCACGAAUAGUUCUCACGGGUGCGCUUGCGUCUGGCGCGCGUUCUCUUGCUGUGCGGGGUCUUCCUCUCUGCAUUUUUGCCUUCGUUUUCUGUUCGGGUUUUGCAUGUGCGAUGUGAGGAGGAAGAGCGAGAGAGACGAGGGCGUGAGCGCCCCACGCGUUGAUCGGAGAGAGGGAGGGGCAUCCUGCAGUGAGCCAUCCGACGAAUGGGCGCUUCGCUCUGACCAACUCGCUGGCCGGCUCCGCGCCCUGCUGCCCCUCAUAGCUUGCUACAGUCCUCUCCUUAGCCUCCCCUCCUCUGCCCUUCUCGCCCAACGCAGAAGUCUGAUCGCACAAGAAGAAGGGCUGUAGCACAACGUGUGGGCGACAGCGAUGACAACCGAACAGAGAAUACAGACGUCUCUCUCUCACGGUGCGAGAAAUCGGCGAGAGGAGAGCGUAGGGAGGAUGCCGUCGACCUGUAUAGUGAUGCCCUACCAGGGUAGUCGGGUGGGAUUCAGGGACUACCUGUCCGCGCAUAAUGUGAAGGUGUGUACAGAUCCCUUGCACUGACCCGUGUGAUGCUAUCUCUCUCUCCCUUUUUUUUUUUGGACUCCCUCCUCCUUACACGAUCGCUGUGCCGUUGCGAUGGCAACUGCUACUGCGGUUUCCUUCUCCUAUUGGCCGCCUCUUGUUUUACGUUUGGUCGUGUGCCGCCGUGAGAGCGAGAUAUACAC